GCCCAGAUGGGAUUAGCUAGUAGGUGGGGUAAAGGCUCACCUAGGCGACGAUCCCUAGCUGGUCUGAGAGGAUGACCAGCCACACUGGAACUGAGACACGGUCCAGACUCCUACGGGAGGCAGCAGUGGGGAAUAUUGCACAAUGGGCGCAAGCCUGAUGCAGCCAUGCCGCGUGUAUGAAGAAGGCCUUCGGGUUGUAAAGUACUUUCAGCGGGGAGGAAGGGAGUAAAGUUAAUACCUUUGCUCAUUGACGUUACCCGCAGAAGAAGCACCGGCUAACUCCGUGCCAGCAGCCGCGGUAAUACGGAGGGUGCAAGCGUUAAUCGGAAUUACUGGGCGUAAAGCGCACGCAGGCGGUUUGUUAAGUCAGAUGUGAAAUCCCCGGGCUCAACCUGGGAACUGCAUCUGAUACUGGCAAGCUUGAGUC
rnacentral:rRNA from 1 species